rnacentral:rRNA from 1 species
UACAGAGGGUGCAAGCGUUGUUCGGAAUUAUUGGGCGUAAAGGGCGCGUAGGCGGUGCGGUAAGUCUGUAGUGAAAUCUCUGGGCUCAACUCAGAGUCUGCUGCAGAAACUGCCGUGCUUGAGUGUGGGAGAGGUGAGUGGAAUUCCCGGUGUAGCGGUGAAAUGCGUAGAUAUCGGAAGGAACACCUGUGGCGAAAGCGGCUCACUGGACCAUUACUGACGCUGAUGCACGAAAGCUGGGGGAGCAAACAGG